rnacentral:rRNA from 1 species
UACGUAGGUGGCAAGCGUUGUCCGGAAUUACUGGGCGUAAAGAGCUCGUAGGUGGUUUGUCGCGUUGUUCGUGAAAACUCACAGCUUAACUGUGGGCGUGCGGGCGAUACGGGCAGACUGGAGUACUGCAGGGGAGACUGGAAUUCCUGGUGUAGCGGUGGAAUGCGCAGAUAUCAGGAGGAACACCGGUGGCGAAGGCGGGUCUCUGGGCCGUAACUGACGCUGAGGAGCGAAAGCAUGGGGAGCGAACAGG